rnacentral:lncRNA from 1 species
UGCACGCAGGCAAAGGUUUCCCACAGAGACACUUAUUAUGGAUAAACGAGGUAUAAUCAAACGUCUGGAAGGUUCCGAGCUACGGAAUGGGCCCACAAAGGCUGUUGUAGCUGACAUUGAGCAUAAUAAUCCCGGUGGUCGACAAAUCCUUGGGAAUGCUCCCAUAAAUCUUGUUAUGGCUCAAAUCGAGGUUGGUCAACGAGUCCGAGAAGUGGAGGUUGGAGAGAUCGAAGUGAAAGUGAUUCCUGGAGAAAUCUCCGACAGCCAAGCGCUUGCUCUUUCCGAACAAGAAGGAGAUGUCCCCUUCUAGAUUGUUCCCCGAAACAUGGAUCUCGGAGAAGUUGGCAUUCCCCAACUUGCUGGGAAUGGGGCCUGAAAGCUGAUUAUAGGAGAGGAAGAGAUAGAUUUGAUGAUUCCUGAAAUCCGCGAAUGUUUCAGGAAUGGCGCCGGUGAGUCUGUUUCCAUCUAGAAGGAGGCUUUUGAGUUUAGGGAGUUGGGAGAGAGAAGGGGGGAUUGAACCUGUCAAUCUGUUGUAUGAUAAUAAAAGGAACUGGAGCUUUUUGAGUUUGGUGAGGAAAGCGGGGAGGGGGCCCGUCAGAAGAUUGUAUUCAAGAUUGAGGAAGAAAAGGUGGGAGAGGUUGGAAAUGGUGGUGGGGAUGAGGCCGGUGACGUUGGUGUUGCGGAAGGUGAGGCUCUGGAGGUAGGGGAGGUCGCCCACGGCAGCGGGGAUGGGGCGGCGCUUGAGGUUGGCCUCGGAGAAGUGGAAUACGGUAAUACGGUUGGCUUUGCCGCCGCAUCCCACGACCGUCCAUUGGCAGCAGUCCGUUUUGGGGUUCCAGGAGGCGAGGUCGGAGGGGUUGUGGAGCUCUUUCUUGAUUUGGAGGAGGACUUUCUUGUCAUCUGGGUGGCAUUUCUCUGAUACUGAUACUGAGAGUGAAACGAAGAGGACGACGAGCAUCCCAAGAUGGGAACUUGCCGCCAUUAAUUGGCUGUUUG